AACACUCUCUGGCCGAGCGUCUCAGAAGGCCGGCAGGGCGCGCGAAAUUUUGGCGGGAGUGCUUGCAGCCUCUCUUCUCAGCCUCAGAAGGCCUGAGGGAGCGGAGCCUCUGCUUCUCCUCCGACACUGAAACCGGGAAAGCGGAGUGGGCGGGGGAGGUUCCGCCGUGACCGAAGGCGGCGGCCUCGGAGGAAGUAAGAAUGAAAACAUAACAGGGUUGUCUGCUGGGGAAGAUUUUUGAUUUCUUUAUAGGACUCUGCUCCCUUUGAGGAGAUGGCUGUGGACUUCACAGAGGAAGAUUGGGCACUGCCGGAUUCUGGCCUUGUGCAGGGAAGUCAUGCUGGAGGUUUCUAGGAAUAUGGCUGCUCUGGGUGGGAGGCAGUUGACCAAUCCAGAGGAAGGCUGCUGAAAAACUAAACAAUUAAUUACAUGCCAAAACGUCCCUGUCUUUCACAAGCGCCACAAUUUCCUUGACCAGAGUGCAAGUGUAAAUGUUGGUUUUUUUCUAUCUUUAUCAAAGGCAGGAUUAGUCAAAACACACAGGAAGGAAAAAUAAGGAAAAGAAAGUAUAUCAAAAUACACUGGAAGAAGAGUAAAAAGAUUAGGAUUAGAGCUACAGAAAGAACCACAAAAAAAGAAAUUAAAAAAUCAAAUGCAAUUAAUAAAACAUAAAUUAUGCUUAAUUGAAAAAGAAGAAUUGGCACAAAAAAUUAAAAGUAUAAAACAAAAUUUCUUUGGAAGCGCUAACAAACCAAGGAGGUGGCUGGCAUCUAAAUUAAAAAAGGUGAAAGAAAAGA